rnacentral:rRNA from 1 species
GAUGAACGCUGGCGGCGUGCUUAACACAUGCAAGUCGAACGAAGCACUUAUCUUUGAUUCUUCGGAUGAAGAGGUUUGUGCCUGAGUGGCGGACGGGUGAGUAACGCGUGGGUAACCUGCCUCAUACAGGGGGAUAACAGUUAGAAAUGACUGCUAAUACCGCAUAAGACCACGGAGCCGCAUGGCCCAGUGGGAAAAACUCCGGUGGUAUGAGAUGGACCCGCGUCUGAUUAGGUAGUUGGUGGGGUAACGGCCUACCAAGCCAACGAUCAGUAGCCGACCUGAGAGGGUGACCGGCCACAUUGAGACUGAGACACGGCCCAAACUCCUACGGGAGGCAGCAGUGGGGAAUAUUGCACAAUGGGGGAAACCCUGAUGCAGCGACGCCGCGUGAGCGAAGAAGUAUUUCGGUAUGUAAAGCUCUAUCAGCAGGGAAGAAAAUGACGGUACCUGACUAAGAAGCACCGGCUAAAUACGUG